AACGUAGGACGCGAGCGUUAUCCGGAGUUACUGGGCGUAAAGCGUGCGCAGGCGGCUCCUUAAGUCAGAUGUGAAAUCCCCGGGCUUAACCUGGGAACUGCGUUUGAAACUGAGGGGCUAGAGUGUGGAAGAGGGGGGUGGAAUUCCAGGUGUAGCAGUGAAAUGCGUAGAUAUGUGGAGGAAUACCGAUGGCGAAGGCAGCCUCCUGGGCCAACACUGACGCUCAUGCACGAAAGCGUGGGGAGCGAACCGG
rnacentral:rRNA from 1 species